GCUUAUGGCCAUAUCAGCCUGGGUACGCCCGAUCUUUGAUCUCGGAAGCUAAGCAGGGUCGGGCCUGGUUAGUACUUGGAUGGGAGACCGCCUGGGAAUACCAGGUGCUGUAAGCA
rnacentral:rRNA from 1 species